rnacentral:rRNA from 1 species
UGGCUCAGGACGACGCUGGCGGCGUGCUUAACACAUGCAAGUCGAACGGAAAGGCCCCCUUGUGGGGUACUCGAGUGGCGAACGGGUGAGUAACACGUGAGUAACCUACCCUUGACUUUGGGAUAACUUCAGGAAACUGGGGCUAAUACCGGAUAGGAGCUCCUGCUGCAUGGUGGGGGUUGGAAAGUUUCGGCGGUUGGGGAUGGACUCGCGGCUUAUCAGCUUGUUGGUGGGGUAGUGGCUCACCAAGGCUUUGACGGGUAGCCGGCCUGAGAGGGUGACCGGCCACAUUGGGACUGAGAUACGGCCCAGACUCCUACGGGAGGCAGCAGUGGGGAAUAUCGCACAAUGGGCGGAAGCCUGAUGCAGCAACGCCGCGUGCGGGAUGACGGCCUUCGGGUUGUAAACCGCUUUCGCCUGUGACGAAGCGUGAGUGACGGUAAUGGGUAAAGAAGCACCGGCUAACUACGUG